rnacentral:lncRNA from 1 species
GGACUGUCUCGUACAUGCGUCUCGCCACUUUAGGCUGGCGUUUGGCUCUACUCUGACCUUGGUAAGAGAGGUACGCUGACUGUUUGGAGCUGCUGUAAAGGGAUCUCAGAGCCAAGAACCGCCUCCUCUUUCCAGCAUUGUGGGUCUUGUUUAUCUGAAGUUUGUGACCUCAUAUAACAUAACUGUGAAGACCAGCAUCCAUUGUGGCAGCCUCUUGUCUGCUGGUCGCUCCAUCUGUCACUCAUCUUUUCACCCCGUCUUCCCUCCCUCAUCAAACCCUUACCCGGCCCAGCCCAUGACAGCAGCGUUGCCAGCAUGGCAUUCUCAUCACGCUUUUCCUUCUGGGAGCAAAAGAUCAAAGAAGAGAACAAGCCAAUCCCCAAGGGCUCAAAAGACAAUUCUGACAGUGAUGGCAGCCUGAGUAGCCGCUCCCAGUCAGUGCCCAGCCUAGAGCCUGGCAAAGGCCUUCUGCGUACCAAGAGUCCUCAGCCUGUUCAGGACAAGCCAGCAGAGGUCCAGUCCCAGCCUCAGUUCAGACGUGUUAAAAGCCCCUCACCCAACAGAG